GUCACCUUCGUGUAUGCAUCCUGUCAUCCACAUGCUCUGAGUAAAAACAGACAGAUAAAAUGAAUAAAGGAAUUCUUAAAUUAGAACUCCUUUUAAAACACUGCAUUACAGUCAUAGUAAUAAUGAUAAUGAUAAUACUCACGAUAAUACUUAUGAUAACAGCAGAGCCUUCAGAGGUUGGCUUGCCAUAGCCAGCUGGAAGUGUCUCUCAAUGCACAACGGUGACAAGUUUUGCUCACUUUUAAUUCUUAACACAGUAGUGGCAUAAACCUAAAUAUGCCCCAAACUUUCAAGAAUCAAAGCUGCCGGAAUCAGCAUCGGUCUGUGGCUCAGCAGUGAUCUAGUGCGACUGGAUGGUUCUUCCAGUAUGCGAGGAGAGACUCUAACUUGCAGUUGAACUUUAAAAGAAAAAAAAGUAAAGUUCAUAUCAAGUUUGUGACACUCUUGGGUGCCUUGUUUGUUUCAAUGGGGUACCUGGGUUUAAGAGUGCAAAAGCUUACUGCGUUGCCAUCUGUGUGACCGAAGAUGUCCUGGCCUUCCUUAAGGGUCCACUGAUAUAAACAUCUGGUUGACUCUGCAUCUUGGUUGCUUGGCUUUUACGGAGUAAUGGAAGGAGGAGGAAAAAUGACAUGAGCUGCACAUAAUUGUCAUUAAAUGCAGUGAGGAUUCCUAAAGGAGAGAGUUGUAAGCAGAAGGUCUCUUGGCAAUGCGAUCUUGUAUCAGUUUUUAUAGAGGAAGCUCAAAGGAAUCUGAUUUCUCAUAAGAAGGUGAACAGAUUGUGAGACAGGUGACGGGGAGGAAAGGGAAGAACGGGGAUCGUCCUG